rnacentral:rRNA from 1 species
CCAAUAGCGUAUAUUAAAGUUGUUGCAGUUAAAAAGCUCGUAGUUGAAUUUCGGGGUCAGUAGAUCGGUCAUGCCACUGGUAUGUACUGGUCUCACUGAUUCCUCCUUCCUGAUGAGCCGUAAUGCCAUUAAUUUGGUGUUUCGAGGAAUCUGGACGGUUACUUUGAAAAAAUUAGAGUGUUUAAAGCAGGCUACCGCUUGAAUACAUUAGCAUGGAAUAAUGAAAUAGGCAGUUCGAUCUUAUUUUGUUGGUUUCUAAGAUUGACGUAAUGAUUAAUAUGGAUAGUUGGGGGCAUUAGUAUUCAAUUGUCAGAGGUGAAAUUCUUGGAUUUAUUGAAGACUAACUACUGCGAAAGCAUUUGCCAAGGAUGUUUUCAUUAAUCAAGAACGAAAGUUAGGGGAUCGAAGACGAUCAGAUACCGUCGUAGUCUUAACCAUAAACUAUGCCGACUAGGGAUCGGAUGAUGUUAAUUUUUUAAUGACUCAUUCGGCGCCUUACG